rnacentral:ncRNA from 1 species
UUUAUCAAGAGCGGCGGAGGGACUGGCCCAAUGAAACCCGGCAACCUGUAUUAAGGUGCCAAUUCCUGCGGAUUAUCCGAGAGAUAAA